UCAUGUAAACGCUCAUACUAUUAAGUUAUUGCGUGUUAAUAAAUACUUGAUGAAACCCACUUGCAUUACAGAGCAGAGUGGACACAUCCGCAAUGGCGGACACACUGACGUAUUGCAACAACGCGGCAACCCCUCAAAGGUGGAAUAUGUUUGUCUACGGUGACACAAGGAGAGAAUGUUGCUUCCGGGUUGUGACGUAUCGCUGGUAUAUAACCUUGCCGGCUAUGAAUAGUUUAGACUCUAAACUGCAGGGUGUCAUUUGUUGACUUGUGAAGUCACAACGAAGAUUUGGAAACGUGCAACUAUAUUGUCCUCGUUGGCUUUGGCAGAGACCCGUGAAUAAAGAUGUCAGGCCAAGCAUUGACCAGCAGCCCUCCUAACCUCCCUCCUUCACCGGCCAUCAAGGUCGGCCUGGAGCUACGCCAGCUGGGUGACCAGCUCUACUGGACGUGCUCCCUCUUGAGGGCCGUGACUAAGGAACACAAGACUCUGGUCAAUAACAGCGGUACCUGAUGAUGUGACAGGGGAUCCACAGAGGAUGUACAGAGGAAAUGGGCAUCAGCCUGACUGAGAGCUGGUUGGAUGAGCUACCUUGGUGGUCGAGCAUGAGAGACCCCUGAUUUGAGGCUUACCCGUAAAAUAUGAAGAUUAGCCAAAGCAGGGAUGGGUGAUCUCAGGACAUUUAUGACCUGGCGAAAGGAUUUUGAUCCGGACCACAUCAGAGGAACUGUUUAACAAAACAACACACAAAUGAUCAUCUUAUACUUGUGUUUCUUUCACAAUUUGCAAAUAAAACUUGUGUUUGUCAUCUGG